UACGUAGGGGGCAAGCGUUAUCCGGAUUUACUGGGUGUAAAGGGAGCGUAGGUGGCAAGGCAAGCCAGAAGUGAAAACCCGGGGCUUAACCCCGCGGAUUGCUUUUGGAACUGUCAGGCUGGAGUGCAGGAGGGGCAGGCGGAAUUCCUGGUGUAGCGGUGAAAUGCGUAGAUAUCAGGAGGAACACCGGUGGCGAAGGCGGCCUGCUGGACUGUAACUGACACUGAGGCUCGAAAGCGUGGGGAGCAAACAGG
rnacentral:rRNA from 1 species